rnacentral:rRNA from 1 species
GAUGAACGCUGGCGGCGUGCCUAAUACAUGCAAGUCGAGCGAACGGACGAGAAGCUCGCUUCUCUGAUGUUAGCGGCGGACGGGUGAGUAACACGUGGAUAACCUACCUAUAAGACUGGGAUAACUUCGGGAAACCGGAGCUAAUACCGGCUAAUAUUUUGAACCGCAUGGUUCAAAAGUGAAAGACGGUCUUGCUGUCACUUAUAGAUGGAUCCGCGCUGCAUUAGCUAGUUGGUAAGGUAACGGCUUACCAAGGCAACGAUGCAUAGCCGACCUGAGAGGGUGAUCGGCCACACUGGAACUGAGACACGGUCCAGACUCCUACGGGAGGCAGCAGUAGGGAAUAUUCCGCAAUGGGCGAAAGCCUGACGGAGCAACGCCGCGUGAGUGAUGAAGGUCUUCGGAUCGUAAAACUCUGUUAUUAGGGAAGAACAGAUGUGUAAGUAACUGUGCACAUCUUGACGGUACCUAAUCAGAAAGCCACGGCUAACUACGUG